rnacentral:lncRNA from 1 species
UGCUCUUCCGAUCUGUGGUGGAUAUGGAAAUCAGUUCAGUUCAAGAUUUGGCCAAGAUUCCAUAGAAAAAGUGGUAGAAGAAUCAAAAAAAACAAGCAACAAAAAUGGAGUUUAUUGGGGUGGCGGCAGUGGUGGUGGUGGUGGUGGAUGGGCUGAUGAUUUCGGAUCUGGUUAUGGCAAUAGCUUUGGAGGUGGUCCUAUGAGAGGUGGGAGUGGAAGUAGUUUCCAUCAACGGGGACAAGGCCCAUAUGGUGGUGGAUAUGGAGGCGGUGGUGGUGGAGGAGGAUAUGGAGGAGGUUUUCGGAGAUAAGUGCCAAGAUUUGAAAGGGGGAAUGGGGGUAAGUAUGCAAAAAUUUCAAAUAUCUAAGGUAUUUAACACUGAAAUCCAAAAAGUUAGGAUUUUAUUAACAAUCUUUAGGUAUACAAACACAAUACCCAGUGCUACAGUUCUUAUGAAAUAAGUAAAUUGAUUGGGAAACAAUUUUAAAUAAUAAAUCAGGGUUUCUAAUAUUACUAUUGCAACAUCUGUUUCCUCGUCAUCUUAGAGAGCAAAUUAGAUUACAUUUUAAUAGCUGUUUUUUACAUUUAAUCUAGGGAUGUUUUAGACAACAGCCAGGAACUUAUAGCCAGUCAAGCUAGAGAAAGGGUGUAUAGUCCAAUAUGAUAUAUGUAGCUGUUUCUGAAGGAAAGAACUGAUUGAAGUGAAGUUGAGACAAGAUUCAGCUAGGUCUUCUAAAACAUCUGAGCAGGAGGGGUCCAGUGUUUAGACGACAGUUCAUCAAAGGCACUUUAUUAAACUCGCAUUCCCUGUUGACUUGAUAUUUUAAUUGGGUCUACUUCAGAUCGCACAUUUUCAUUAUCUGCAGUCAUUGUUAUUGUAAUGCUAUCAUAUCGUUGUCAGUCAAUUUCAUUGCUACCAUUUAUUUUAAUCUUCUACACAAAUUUGAAUGUAUGAUUUAGUAUGAGAAAUAAAUCAUCAUAUUGGCUUUCACUAAAGUAAUGGACUCAAAAUUAUUUAGGACUAAAUUAGGUUAUUUAGGAUAUGUAAGCUAGUAUCAGAACACUGGACCUUUUUUAUAGUAUCAGCUUUUUCUUUUAAAAAUAAAAUAAUUUAGGAUGAAAUAAUUGUGGACUAUUAAUAAAAUUAAAAGCUGAAAAAUCGGUAAUUAUAGCUAGGAACUUUUAAAUUCUAAUUAGACAAAUUGAUUUCAAACAUUUUAAUGCAUUUAUAUUUUGAAAUGCAUCACAAAAUUAUUAUAAAUUUUUUAUAAAGUCUGAAUUAUUU